rnacentral:lncRNA from 1 species
AAGACUACUACCGUAAGUACAGAGAAAGUUGCAUAGUCCUGCAAGAGAACUUUAAAAUAGGAGUAAAACACUUAAAGUUGCUAGUGAAUUAGUAUAUCUAAUAAGUGAAUGUAAUACAGUGGUGCCUCGCAAGACGAAAUUAAUUCGUUCCGCGAGUUUUUCCGUCUAGCGAAUUUUUCGUCUUGCGAAGUACGAAAUCCCAUAGGAAUGCAUUGAAAUUCAAUUAAUGCGUUCCUGUGUUCAAAAAAAGUCCAAACAAAGCCAAAUUUGGUACAACAAGAGUUUAUUAAGUGCUCUUUAAAGUCACACAUACUGUAAAGAGCAUUUCAAAAAUUGAAGGAACAAUAAAUUAAGUUUCUAAACAUGACAGAAAAACAUUUAAAAAUCAACAAAGUGUACAGUACAUUUUCUAAGACUCUGGGGGACAACUCGAAGAAGGUUCCUCUUCCACUCUUUGCUUCUUGCUGGACCCCCUCCUCAACUGUUCCCCUAGCCACCCACCACACAGAAAUUCAAAUCCAGAUUUUUUUAAAAAAAACAGCAGAGUGGCCCAAUGGUCACAGAAAAUCAUAAAAAUGCAGGGAAAAAAACACAAGCUUCCAGAUUCUUGCAAACCCCUCCCCAACACCAAGUCCUUGAAUUCCAAACACCCCAACCCAAAAUCCAAAAACCCCCAAAAAAGUUUUAAAAGUUUAAAAGAAGUUUUGGAAAAGCUCCAAAAAUCACCAGAGUCUUCAAAAACCUCAAAAAAGGCUACCACACCGCGUUCUAUGAGUUGCUCCUCGAAGUCAAGUCGCAACUGUAUUAACGGUGUUAAGAAAAAGGAAACAAACUUGCAAGACGUUUCGUUUUCGUCUUGCGAAGCAAGCCCAUAGGGAAAUUCGUCUUGCGAAGCAGCUCAAAAAACGGAAAACCCUUUCGUCUAGCGAGUUUUUUGUCUUGCGAGGCAUUCGUCUUGCGGGGCACCACUCCCAUUCCUUGUGUUUAAAGAAGGGAGUACCCCUUAACAAGUAAUUUAAGGCAAGAAAAUAGUACCACACAAGCACCACUGUAGAUCUGGUAUUUCAAUACAGUGGUAUCUCGGCUUACAUACGCUUCAGGUUACAUACGCUUCAGGUUACAGACUCCGCUAACCCAGAAAUAGUGCUUCAGGUUAAGAACUUUGCUUCAGGAUAAGAACAGAAAUCAGGCUCCGGCGGUGCGGCGGCAGCAGGAGGCCCCAUUAGCUAAAGUGGUGCUUCAGGUUAAGAACGGACCUCUGGAACGAAUUAAGUACUUAACCCGAGGUACCUCUGUAGUUAUAUCUCCUAUUGCCCUUGGGGAAAUUGCUUUUUCUUCUUCUUGAUGCUAAACUUUUGUUUUUCAUAAAAGGUAAAGGACCCCUGGACAGUUAAGUCCACUCAAAGGUGACUAUGGGGUUGCGGCGUUUGUUCACAGGUCAUGUAGCCAGCACGACUAAACCGCUUCUGGCACAACAGAAACCAUGAAGGAAACCAGAGUGCAUGGAAAUGCAAUUUACCUUCCUGCCGCAGCUGUACCUAUUUAUUGCACUGGUAUGCUUUCAAACUCAUAGGUUGGCAGGAGCUAGGACAGAACAACAGGAGCUCACCCCGUCGCGGGGAUUCAAAAUGCCAACCUUCCAAUCAGCAAGCCCAAGAGGCUCAAUGGUUUAGACCACAGCGCCACCCACUCCCCUGUUUUUCAUAGGACUAACUGAAGCAGCACAACAAUUUAAAAUAUGAUGUAUGGCAUCCAAUGAUGUCUACCCACUUGUGCAACAAAAAUUCACUUGCACAUCAGGAUGGGAAGGAGAGGAAAGGGAAGAUUGUACAGACACUCACUUGUGCGAGGCUGGAUCUCAUCCUAAAUAUUUACGGAAAAGAUUUUUCCCCAUGUGCCCAGUGCUACAACAUGCAUAAGCAAGGCUAUUCUUGCAAACCGCAAACUAUUUGACUCCAUUGUGUUCCUAUGAAAGAUAAUAGGACAGCCCACUUGGAGUGAAUUGUAGGCUGCAACAUCAAUCUUAAAACAACAGCAACAAAGUAAGACAGUGCUUUGAAACAAAAAUGCAAUGCAGCUUGUAGCCAUCUUCUCUUCAAUUGCCAUAAUUUAUCCAACUUGAUUCUGAGAUUUGUUGUUGAGGUUUUAAAAGCUUUGUUAUAAUUGGUUUCAGUCUCAUGUUGUUGUGCAUUUUGGGGGUGGAAAGUUUUCACAAAGUUGAUUCCCUUUCAAAACAGAAUGCAGAUUCCUUCUGUAUACAGUUUGCCAUUAUUUCAAGCUCUUCUAAGUAUAUUCAGUACAAAGAGUAAGCAGAGCUACAGGAGAACUUGGUUGUACACACAGGUGAUUACUGUAAUUUCCCUUUCUUCUUUGUCACAAGAUGCUUCCUCUGUGUGGUGGCACCUCCUUUCUGAAAUGGGGGGAAGUUUCAAGGAUAAUUUGUGAUAUCCCAUGGGAGCCUGGUCUUCAAAGAAGAAAAGGCUACAUUCCAUUGACAAAGUCAAUGUCAAUCUCUCUGAAGUUUUAUAACAAUAACUUUUUUGGGGGGGAUCAAUUUUAACCCAGGAAAAUUUAUAGGAUUAGUUCUGAUAAUAUCUCACUCUGGUUUAGUGCCUCAGUUGCACAGAAUCUCAUAAUUUUAGAGCUGGGGUUUUAGAACUAUGGGUCUUAUAAUAUAGGAAGGAAAUCUUUUAUGUAAAACCUGACAAGCAGGGCACCAGAUCAGGAUGAAAACAUAAUUGGCUACAGGCAAUUUUCACUUAAUUUAUGUCAAGAACAAUUCAACACAGUAGCAAGACACUGUCUAAAUAACUGCUGCAGAUGUGGACAGGUUUACAGAGAAUGCAAAUUUUUAUUUCACUUUAAGGGAGGAAACAGAACCACAGAGGCUUGGGGUUACCUUUUUUCCAAGUCCUGGAAACGACACUAUGUUGUGAACUGUAGUGAUAUUUAAUUGAACAGUCAGACCUGCUUCAAUACAAAGUUUGAUGGGCUGAUAUUUUGUAAUUUUUAUUGCUGUAAGUCAACUUGGAUAGGCAUUGUUUGGACUAUUCAGUAUUUUGAAUAAAAAUAAAUGCAUUUAGUGGCAUUU